rnacentral:lncRNA from 1 species
CAGUUACCUGAGAGCAUAACCUCUCUUACAAAACUCACAAUUCAAAAGCAUACCCUUAAUCCUAGACUCUAACUUUAUUUAUACUAAUUAUUUCCCAUCCAUCUCUCACUAAAUAUUUUCCUAUAAUAUAUUUGCAUUUAAUAUAAAUAUCCCUAUAUAUAAAUAUCUCCCCUUAUAUUAUCCUAGCAUAUAUCCUUAAUUAUAAAUAUCUUAUAUUGAAUAUUUUCCUAGAAUAUAUAUUUAUUUACUUUAAUUAACUUAUACUAUAUUUAUUUACUCCAAUUAACUUAUACUGAAUAUCUUAUAUUGAAUAUUUCCUUGAAAUAUAUAUUUAUUUACUCUAAUUAACUUAUACUAUAUUUAUUUACUCUAAUUAACUUAUACUGAAUAUCCUCCCACCUUAUACCCUAACCGUUCUUCUGGCGAAUAUACUACACUCGUGAGGCCAAAGCCUACUUGCAAGAUGUUGCAAACAAAAACAAUUCCAUAGGGAGGGGGCACUCUAAACCAAUUUGAUACCUGUAGCCAUGCCAUCACUACACCGACCUCUGAAAAAUAUGGUGUGCUUUUAUAUGCUUUACUCUUAUUCCAAAUUCCAAAAUUCAAACGCACAUUUAACCUUUCACUUUAAUUCUUCAUUCCAAUGAAUCAAUGCAUGCAUAUAUGCAUUAUAUUCUUAUUUGAACAACCAUAAACCUAAAUCAGGUAUCCUCAAAAUUGUGGUCUAUAACAUUACUACUCACAUUCAUUACAAGUAUCACACUCAACAAUUUCUGGUGUAGAGUGAUUGUGAUUUUACAAUCUUCUCCCCACCACAUCUUUAUGUUAUCCCCCACCCAACAAAUAAGUGAUCUGUCAUCAUGAAAUGCAGAGUUAUAAUCAUUUAUAAAAACUAGGUUAAUGAUGGCAGCGAGAGUUAGAGGUCUAGCCAAAUAGUAGUUGUCCUGUUUCUUAGAUCCUACCAUUUGUUACUGGCAGUGAGAGUUUUGGUGAUCUGUCAUGUGAUGAGGUUUUGUUUGGAGGCUUUUUUAUGUUGAACGCUCUGUGGAGACAGUGACAUAGAGUACAAUGGUGUAACUUAACGUCACAGUUAGUGAAUCGUGCUUUUAUGUCUUUAUUAGAAAAGAAAAUUAUUCAUGCAAUACUUAUAAGAUAGUUUGAUUUUUAAUUCAUUUUACCUUUCUAUUAUAGUAGUGUCUAAAAAGUGUUUAGAUAGUCGACCUACUCUAAUUGUGCUCAAUUGUGUCAAAGAAGUGUCUAAGAUGUUUUGAAGAGAUGACCCUGCCAAAAUCAUUUUUCAUUUGCAAGGUUGAGGGAUGUUAGACACAUAACGUUGACAUUCUAUUUUGUAGAAAUGUUGGUAUUUCCUAGCAUAUAACAGAAGUAAACAGGUGUCUUGGUUGAAAGGUUGUGAAACAUUUGUUAGUUCAAGCUAAUUACCUAACUUGCAUGAAUGAUACUAAUCAUUAUUUAUACUAGCUUUUUGCUGACUGUCAACCACGGUUUAUGGUUAAAAUGAGUAAGAGUAACAUCAGAGGUUGUAAAAAUAUGCUGGUUCAAACUAAUUACCUUACAAUACUUGUAAUUAGUAUUUGUAGGAGCUUUCCUCUUACAAACUAUCAACCUCUUUUUAUGUUCUUUAAUGAGAAACUUUUAAAUGCAAUACU